UUCCCCUCAAACAAAAAACUUAUUUUAGGAGGAUUCAAAACACUUGGAUUUAGUAGUUUUUUUUUUUUUUUUUGAAUAAAACGAAAAUGAUAUUAACGAAAAUUACAUCAUCUAUCCAAGUCCUAUUCCCUUAGCUAAAUUAACCCUGUAGUUAUUGAACAAGAAGCUGUUAUCAUCUUCACAAUCAGAUUCAACAACUAUGUUCUGAAAUCCCAAUUGAUACGCGAAAUCCAAACCAAGCUAUAUAGCUUCUAUCAUCGGUGCCUCUUUGCUUCUCCGUUCAACCCACGUUGCUGCUGCCAUCACAUCACCGUCGGAAUCCCGGAUGACCACGCCUAGCCCCCAACGCCCUUCAACACUCAGCAUUAGUGCAUGACAUCAAGGCGGUGUCUUGGUGUUGGUCUUAAGAAUUGCUUCAUGCCUUUUCUACGAGUGGUGUUGGAAUCCGAGAGAGUGCAUAAGGCGGAGGUGAGGUGACUGCUUUGGGAGGUCUGAUUGGGUGUGGUAAGAUGGUGCUUAGCUGCUGUUUCGGCUGUUUGUGCUGGCUGUGUGUCUUGGGGUUCUGUGGCCUUGUAUUUUGGCCUUCACUGUGUUAAUUUUUCUUUUCUUUUUUGUUCGGUACUGGUAGUUUGGAAUUUGGAUUCCUGUGCCUCUUUUCUCUCCUAUAUUGGCUGUGCGCUAUCUGUGUUGUAUCAGUUUGCCUUUUGCACAUCCUAUGCUAAGGUAAUUAAUGAAUAUGCGUUAUUUCAAAACUAAAAUAAAAUAGUAUUAGUAGCAUGUUUGGU